GACUCAAGAGACAAGAUGUUUUGAAAAGCCAACCUAUGUUUGGAUCCAGAAGAUUGAAGGUCGGCGCUCAGAUGGGAGACAUCCUCUUGAAGCCUCGCCUCCCGCUUGAUUAUCGCCUGAAGUUGUUCAUAGGCAGCCACCUUUUCAGCAUUAGCGGCUGCCACUUUAUCCAUCCAUAUCUGAUGGAAGUCUGCAACCUUUUGGUAGCCGGCUUCCAAGUCGAACAUAUCAUGUGCCAACUGAAAGC
rnacentral:lncRNA from 1 species